AAUCUAUCAAAGUGCUUAAUACUAGUGCAAGAUCCGCACGGUGUCAAUUAUCAAAUUAACUGUAUUGCAUUACAACUUCUUUCCUGAUUUCUUUCUGUUAUAUAAACUUUUUUUUCAAUUCAAUGCGUUGUUUCCCCUUUGGUGAAUAACAAUGACAACAUAUUGUGAUCCAAUCAGAUCGACCUUAGUUUAAUUGAUUUGAAUGUGUUUGGUGCAUGUAAUGACACAGCCAAACUUUCUGAAUUUUGCAAAGGAAAUAUACGAAGGCCGAUGUCUCAAGACAUAAAAUGUAUAAUGAAAUAUUGUAAUUACAUUAAUCAUUAUUAUUUAGAAAUUUCAUGAAAUAAAAUUGUAUUAAACAAUGCCUAAUUAGUUUAAGUUUCUUAUCACUCUAAAUGGCACUUGCUGCAAUCUUCUAUGACUGUGGAUUCAAUAUAAGUUGGUUGUCUUUACUAUAUGUUGAUGUGUAAUACAAGAUUUGUUAUCGAACUCCUUUAUCAAAUUGUGUGCUAUUCAUGUCAG
rnacentral:lncRNA from 1 species